rnacentral:rRNA from 1 species
UACAGAGGUCUCAAGCGUUGUUCGGAUUCAUUGGGCGUAAAGGGUGCGUAGGCGGCGCGGUAAGUCGGGUGUGAAAUCUCGGAGCUUAACUCCGAAACUGCAUUCGAUACUGCCGUGCUUGAGGACUGGAGAGGAGACUGGAAUUCUUGGUGUAGCGGUGAAAUGCGUAGAUAUCUGGAGGAAUACCGGUGGCGAAGGCGGCAUCCUGGACCGACAUUGACGCUGAUGAGCGAAAGCUAGGGGAGCAAACGGG